UGUGAGUUUUUCAAUUAAUAAACACGUGUCGUAUUGUGAUUAUUGAAACACAGAGAAGACGGAAAUUUAGGGGACACAAGAUUUUAUUCCUGAAGUUUUUUUUUAAGUUCAUUCCUACAGGUUUGAUUUUUUUUUUUUUCCAUUCCAAUUCCAAGCUCCAAAUCCACUCCAUCUCUCGUAUUAUUGACUGGUACUAAGAAUUCAAAAUUAAAUAAAGGAUACAAGUAUGUAUUGACAUUAAUGUUUGCACCAGCAGAUCCAAAACCCUAGAAUUCCCGGCUGCUAAGAAAGCGCAGAUGGUGGUUUGAUAAGUCUCAACUAGGCAGUAAUGUGGGUUAUUCGGAAAGAGCGGUGCUUCUGCAUAUGGAUUGUUGUGUGAAGAGAUAUGAAGAGUUUAACAUGAGCGAUGGAGGUGGUGAGGAAGUCAGGUGGUGCCAAUGAUUUUGCUAGAGCAGUUGUGAAAGGUGCAGUAGAGCAAAUAUGUGCGAGUGAUGGAUUUCAGGCUUUCCAGAGCAAAUAAUUGGGCACUUGCCUAAUUGAUGGUUUCAUCUACAUCAAUAUUUUCAUCAAUAGGUACUAUGUCAUUCACACUUGCAAAGCUUGAUUUAUAUCAGAAAACGACUUUGCUGCAAAUGGUCCUACCUCGAUUAAUUUGAAGCUUCUUUGGCAUUUUACUUUUGUUUCCUUUGGUUUUGUGGUUUCAAUCUUAUUCUUACUAUCAAGGCUUGCAAGAGUGAGAGGUCCAUUAUCAACUCGAGAAGUAAACAAAGUAUUAGAAAAAGCCCCUCCUAUAUAUUUUAAGUGAUCUUGUAUUAUUCAUUUAGUAAUUUUUAUGUAAUCACAAUGUCAAUAUAUAAUAAACUAGUUAAGAUUCGGAGUA